UGCACUUCGGGAUAAGCCUGGGAAACUGGGUCUAAUACCGGAUAGGACCGCACCGUGAGGGUGUGGUGGAAAGUUUUUUCGGUGUGGGAUGGGCCCGCGGCCUAUCAGCUUGUUGGUGGGGUAAUGGCCUACCAAGGCGGCGACGGGUAGCCGGCCUGAGAGGGUGGACGGCCACAUUGGGACUGAGACACGGCCCAGACUCCUACGGGAGGCAGCAGUGGGGAAUAUUGCACAAUGGGCGGAAGCCUGAUGCAGCGACGCCGCGUGGGGGAUGACGGCCUUCGGGUUGUAAACUCCUUUCACCAUCGACGAAGGGUUUCUGACGGUAGAUGGAGAAGAAGCACCGGCUAACUACGUGCCAGCAGCCGCGGUAAUACGUAGGGUGCGAGCGUUGUCCGGAAUUACUGGGCGUAAAGAGCUCGUAGGUGGUUUGUCGCGUCGUCUGUGAAAUUCCGGGGCUUAACUCCGGGCGUGCAGGCGAUACGGGCAUAACUUGAGUACUGUAGGGGAGACUGGAAUUCCUGGUGUAGCGGUGAAAUGCGCAGAUAUCAGGAGGAACACCGGUGGCGAAGGCGGGUCUCUGGGCAGUAACUGACGCUGAGGAGCGAAAGCAUGGGGAGCGAACAGGAUUAGAUACCCUGGUAGUCCAUGCCGUAAACGGUGGGCGCUAGGUGUGGGUUUCCUUCCACGGGAUCCGUGCCGUAGCUAACGCAUUAAGCGCCCCGCCUGGGGAGUACGGCCGCAAGGCUAAAACUCAAAGGAAUUGACGGGGGCCCGCACAAGCGGCGGAGCAUGUGGAUUAAUUCGAUGCAACGCGAAGAACCUUACCUGGGCUUGACAUAUACAGGAUCGCGCCAGAGAUGGUGUUUCCCUUGUGGCUUGUAUACAGGUGGUGCAUGGUUGUCGUCAGCUCGUGUCGUGAGAUGUUGGGUUAAGUCCCGCAACGAGCGCAACCCUUGUCUUAUGUUGCCAGCACGUUGUGGUGGGGACUCGUAAGAAACUGCCGGGGUUAACUCGGAGGAAGGUGGGGAUGACGUCAAAUCAUCAUGCCCCUUAUGUCCAGGGCUUCACACAUGCUACAAUGGUCGGUACAGUGGGUUGCCAGUCCGUGAGGGCGAGCUAAUCCCGCAAAGCCGGUCUCAGUUCGGAUCGGGGUCUGCAACUCGACCCCGUGAAGUCGGAGUCGCUAGUAAUCGCAGAUCAGCAACGCUGCGGUGAAUACGUUCCCGGGCCUUGUACACACCGCCCGUCACGUCAUGAAAGUCGGUAACACC
rnacentral:rRNA from 1 species